rnacentral:rRNA from 1 species
AGAGUUUGAUCAUGGCUCAGAACGAACGCUGGCGGCGUGGAUAAGACAUGCAAGUCGAACGGGGCUGGUUUGGUAGCAAUACCGGGCCAGCCUAGUGGCGAACGGGUGCGUAACACGUGACCAACCUUCCCGAAAGUGGGGAAUAGCUCGCCGAAAGGCGGAUUAAUACCGCAUAUACCUCAAAGCAAUUUGAGGCAAAGCAGCAAUGCGCUUUUGGAUGGGGUCGCGGCCUAUCAGCUAGUUGGUGAGGUAAAGGCUCACCAAGGCAUCGACGGGUAGCUGGUCUGAGAGGACGACCAGUCACACUGGAACUGAGACACGGUCCAGACACCUACGGGUGGCAGCAGUCGAGAAUUUUUCUCAAUGGGGGAAACCCUGAAGGAGCGACGCCGCGUGGAGGAUGAAGGCUUUCGGGUUGUAAACUCCUGUCAUUUGGGAACAAAGUCCCGCGUUCGCGGGAUGUGAUAGUACCAGAAGAGGAAGAGACGGCUAACUCUGUGCCAGCAGCCGCGGUAAUACAGAGGUCUCGAGCGUUGUUCGGAUUCAUUGGGCGUAAAGGGCGCGUAGGCGGCGGGGUAAGUCAGGUGUGAAAUCUCAGAGCUCAACUCUGAAAUUGCACUUGAUACUGCUCUGCUAGAGGACUGGAGAGGAGAUUGGAAUUCACGGUGUAGCAGUGAAAUGCGUAGAUAUCGUGAGGAAGACCGGUGGCGAAGGCGGAUCUCUGGACAGUUCCUGACGCUGAGGCGCGAAGGCCAGGGGAGCAAACGGGAUUAGAUACCCCGGUAGUCCUGGCAGUAAACGGUGCACGUUUGGUGUGCGCGGAUUCGACCCCGUGCGUGCCGGAGCUAACGCGUUAAACGUGCCGCCUGAGGAGUACGGUCGCAAGAUUAAAACUCAAAGAAAUUGACGGGGGCCGCACAGCGGUGGAGUAUGUGGCUUAAUUCGAUGCA